rnacentral:rRNA from 1 species
AACGCAGCGAAGGGCGAUAAGUAAUGUGAAUUGCAGAAUUCCGUGAAUCAUCGAAUCUUUGAACGCACAUUGCGCCCUCUGGUAUUCCGGAGGGCAUGCCUGUCCGAGCGUCAUUGCUGUUCCUCAAAGCCCGGCUUGUGUGUUGGGCCUGCCGUCCUAUGGACGGUGACCCGAAAAGCAGUGGCGGCGUCGCGUCCGGUCCUUAAGCGUAUGGGGCUUUGUCACCCGCUUUGGAUGGCCGGCCGACUCCGUAGCCCCAUCGUGGUUUACCACAUUCUUUGAUGGACCUCGGAUCAGGUAGGGAUACCCGCUGAACUUAA